rnacentral:tRNA from 1 species
GGGGCGGUGGCCUAAAAGGACAGGGCGGCCGGCUUCUACCCGGCAGGCUGCGGGUCCGAGUUCCGCCCGCCCUGCCA